UACAGAGGGUGCAAGCGUUAAUCGGAGUUACUGGGCGUAAAGGGCGCGUAGGCUGAUAUUUAAGUUGAUUGUGAAAUCCCCGGGCUUAACCUUGGAAUUGCAGUCAAUACUGGAUAUCUAGAGUAUAGUAGAGGAAGGCGGAAUUUCCGGUGUAGCGGUGAAAUGCGUAGAUAUCGGAAAGAACACCAGUGCGAAGGCGGCCUUCUGGACUAAUACUGACGCUGAGGCGCGAAAGCAUGGGGAGC
rnacentral:rRNA from 1 species